UUGGUUGUGUGUGGAUUAUUUGGGGAUUUGAGAAGGAAGAAUGGAAAACAUAACAGCAAGUGAAUUGGCCGGGUUUGGAGUUGGAACUAUGCUGCUGUGUGCCACUAUUGCUGCUCCCAAGAUUGAUGCCCUCAUUUCAGCUUCCUAAAGGAGGUAAUGAAGCAUUGUUUAAUCUUACUAUCUCAAGAGUCAAAUUUAAAUUUUAUGGCCAUUAUUGCUGGUCCCUUGAUGAUUUAC